UACGUAGGGGGCAAGCGUUGUCCGGAUUUAUUGGGCGUAAAGAGCGUGUAGGCGGCCUAGUAGGUCAGCUGUGAAAACUCGAGGCUCAACCUCGAGCUGUCGGUUGAAACCACUAGGCUAGAGUCCGGAAGAGGAGAAUGGAAUUCCCGGUGUAGCGGUGAAAUGCGCAGAUAUCGGGAAGAACACCCGUGGCGAAGGCGGUUCUCUGGGACGGUACUGACGCUGAGACGCGAAAGCGUGGGGAGCGAACAGG
rnacentral:rRNA from 1 species